GCCAGCAUGGUGUAGUGUGUUCAUGUCCUGGACUAGGACUCCAGCAAACCAGGGUUCAAAUCCCUGCUUAGCCA